CGUAGGGUGCGAGCGUUAAUCGGAAUUACUGGGCGUAAAGCGUGCGCAGGCGGUGAUGUAAGACAGGUGUGAAAUCCCCGGGCUUAACCUGGGAACUGCAUUUGUGACUGCAUCGCUGGAGUGCGGCAGAGGGGGAUGGAAUUCCGCGUGUAGCAGUGAAAUGCGUAGAUAUGCGGAGGAACACCGAUGGCGAAGGCAAUCCCCUGGGCCUGCACUGACGCUCACGCACGAAAGCGUGGGGAGCAAACAGGAUUAGAUACCCUGGUAGUCCACGCCCUAAACGAUGUCAACUGGUUGUGGGUCUUCACUGACUCAGUAACGAAGCUAACGCGUGAAGUUGACCGCCUGGGGAUACGGCCGCAAGGUUG
rnacentral:rRNA from 1 species